CUGCAAAUAUCUCCCUGAAUCCCACCAGAAUGCUAUGCAUUCCUUGGAAGCUGACCCAGAGGUGACGGAGCGGACAGCGGAAAUGAGCGUGCCACCCCGAGGGUCGGCACUAGGGCGCCCUGCAGGAGAGCGGCUCAUGGGAGAACAUGAAAGGAAGCUGGUCGAUAUGGAUGGGGAUUAGAAUGAUCCGGAAGACGAAGAGCAGCAGCGCAAACCGCAGCAGGAGCACCAGCUGAGCCGACAUCAUCCCAGCCUGGCGAUUUCCCUAAAUCAACUAACCGAGUAGCAAAGGAACCGUUUAGCCUUCAUUGUAGAUCAGGACUGACCGAAAUUAUUCAGAGACCAAGCCAGCUGUAGGUAUGUGACAGAGGGAUGCUGGACGGACUGAAUAUCAGUGACACAGAGACUGGAACCCGAGACACCUUAAUAGGACAGGCUGAGACGGAGCACUUCCUUAUACAGAUGCUCCUCAUUUUACAAUGAUUCAACUUGCGAUAUGUGGACUAUGCGAUGGUGAAACAGCGAAGCACAUUCAGUAAUCAACUUACAAUUUUAGUUCCCAAGCGAGCGGUAUUCAGCAUGAUACUUCCUACUGAUACCGGGCGAUGGUAGCAUCUAUGCAGCCAUGCUUACAGUCUCUGCAGCGUACACAUCUCAUACGAUUUAACGAUGUAUCAGACGUUUUCUGUGUUUAACCAAAUAGCUUGUGGUCAUAAGAGGAAAUUAGCGGGAGAACAUUUUAAAACGAAUUUGAGGAAGCACUUCUUUACACAGUAGUAAAGUAGUUAGAGUAUGGAAUAGUCUUCCUGCUAGUGUAGCGCAAGCUAAAACCCUGGGUUCCUUUAAAUCAGAGCCAGAGAGGUUUUUAGCAACUCUGGGCUAUUGGUUAAGUUCUCUCCAAACCAGCUUGAUGGGCCGAAUGGCCUCCUCUCGUUUGUAAAUUUCUUAUGUUCUUAUAAACUUGUACUCAUUUA